UACGUAGGGUGCAAGCGUUGUCCGGAAUUAUUGGGCGUAAAGAGCUCGUAGGCGGCUUGUCGCGUCGACUGUGAAAUCCCGCGGCUCAACCGUGGAACUGCUUGGUAUACUGCGGGUCUUGAGCCACCUAGGGGCAAGCGGAACAAGCGGUGGAGCGGUGAAAUGCGUAGAUAUCGCGUGGAACGCCAAUGGUGAAAACAGCUUGCUGGGGGUGUGCUGACGCUGAGACUCGAAAGCGUGGGGAGCGAACAGG
rnacentral:rRNA from 1 species